rnacentral:rRNA from 1 species
CAACUCGCCUGCAUGAAGUCGGAAUUGCUAGUAAUCGCAGAUCAGCAUGCUGUGGUGAAUACGUUCCCGGGCCUUGUACACACCGCCCGUCACACCAUGGGAGUCGGAAAUGCCCGAAGUCUGUGGCCUAACCUUUAUGGAGGGAGCCGCCUAAGGCGGGACAGAUGACUGGGGUGAAGUCGUAACAAGGUAUC